CUUGACUGCAAAAUCAGUGAUAAGUUGUUGUGUUUUCCAGGCUGCCUUCUUUCAUUGACAAGAGGAACAAGGAGCGGGUUGGGAAAGUGUAGGAAGGACAAACUCAGCUCAGGUAUAACAUAUUUUUAAUGCUAAUGGGCAGGAUCCCUGAGAACUUAUACUGGCAUAAUUGGUGGUUAUAUUUGCAUAAGACCCUUCAGGGACAUUGCAAAAGAAAGAGAUAUCCAGUAUCUUCUUCUGCAACACCUUUGACCUGGCUAUGUCACAAUGGUGCUUUAGGUCUCAAGUGCACAACUUGGCUGCUGUUGCACAACAAGGUAAGAAGGAGUAGCAUUUUUCCUUGUUCAGGGGUGUGGGGAGGUACAUACCGCUUCUUCUUGUAUGCCUCUUCCAGCACCUUGAAGAAUCUUCUCUUUUUCUGUAUUCCUGUCCCCUUGCUUCUCUUCACUGUCUUGGAAGCCCUGUGGUGAAAGUAGCAACAGAGACAUCUGAUCCAAAGACAAUGGCCCAUUCUUUUGUCCAAUUAGACCUCUGGAUGACACUUUGUGAAAGAAGUGGCAGAUUAUUUUCUUUAUCCGAAGCCCUUCAACACCACCGCAUUAAUCAUCAUUAGCUCCACUCGCCUCCUGCUCGUCACCCCACCCCUGGACGGCAUCCACGGAGCUGUGUUCUAUAGGAAUUGCAUUGUCAUUGCCAACUCAUUAAUAUCCGCUGAUUUGAAUGAGGUGCUGACCCUCCUUUGUUAAGCGAGGCCUGAGAAACAGCAGCGCUGAUGCAUAAUGCCAUCCGAAAAGGUGCUCACCAGCCAUUGAGGACCUCCUCCAGAUUAAAUUUUCAAAUGUCAGGCUGGAAACAGAAGCUCAUUAAAAGUGCAUCCUCAAAAAAAUGCAAAUGAAGAAGAAGGCGGAAACAUACACAUGGACAUCCCCCCCUUACAAGCUGUAGCAAAGCCUACAUUUUUCCAAUGCCACAUGUGGAAAAGUGAUUACAGAGCAGCCUUGAUUAAUUAGGUGUGAGAAUUUUUAGCACUUCUCUGGUAAUAAACAAUACAACUUGCCCAGCA